UUGUAGCGGGUAUGGUUUAGUGGUAAA
rnacentral:tRNA from 1 species